AUGGAGGGUUGUAUGCAGAGUAGA
rnacentral:piRNA from 1 species